AGAAGUGGACUCAGGGACAAUUUCAGCAAAGAAUAUUGUAGACUGUGGCUCAAAUACAGCUAUCUGAAAGCAAGAAAUUUCCACUCCACUCCUGAAGAAGAAGGGACACUUUGGGCUUCAUCCAGACCCAUUACUAAUUUACUGACUGGAAAGGAGAGUGAUUUAUCUGAUUGAUUCACUUUCAUUUGAAGUAACUUCAGGAGCUGAUGGCAAUGAUAUUUCAGCUAUUUGCACAAGAUUAGAUAGUUUCUCGUGAAUUGAAAUAACUCUAAAAAUAA